rnacentral:rRNA from 1 species
ACGGGUGAGUAACACGUGGGCAACCUACCUUAUCGACUGGGAUAACUCCGGGAAACCGGGGCUAAUACCGGAUAACAUCUAGCACCUCCUGGUGCCGGAUUAAAAGAGGGCUUCUUGCUCUCACGAUGAGAUGGGCCCGCGGCGCAUUAGCUAGUUGGAGAGGUAAUGGCUCCCCAAGGCGACGAUGCGUAGCCGACCUGAGAGGGUGAUCGGCCACACUGGGGCUGAGACACGGCCCAGACUCCUACGGGAGGCAGCAGUAGGGAAUCUUCCGCAAUGGACGAAAGUCUGACGGAGCAACGCCGCGUGAGUGAUGAAGGGUUUCGGCUCGUAAAGCUCUGUUAUGAGGGAAGAACACGUACCGUUCGAAUAGGGCGGUACCUUGACGGUACCUCAUCAGAAAGCCACGGCUAACUACGUGCCAGCAGCCGCGGUAAUACGUAGGUGGCAAGCGUUGUCCGGAAUUAUUGGGCGUAAAGCGCGCGCAGGCGGCCUUUUAAGUCUGAUGUGAAAUCUUGCGGCUCAACCGCAAGCGGCCAUUGGAAACUGGGAGGCUUGAGUACAGAAGAGGAGAGUGGAA